rnacentral:ncRNA from 2 species
AAAAUAUUCAUACAUGCCCUUCAUAUAUCCUCGAUGAUAAGGAUCGAGAGUCUCUACCGGAGUACCGUAAAUACUCUGACUAUGAAGGCAGGACACCUAUGU